rnacentral:rRNA from 1 species
AUUGAACGCUGGCGGCAGGCCUAACACAUGCAAGUCGAACGAAUGGCGGACGGGUGAGUAAUGUCUUGGAAACUGCCUGAUGUAGGGGGAUAACUACUGGAAACGGUAGCUAAUACCGCAUACCAUCAGAUUUGCCCAGAUGGGAGUGGCUAGUUGGUGGGGUAACGGCUGACCAAGGGGACGAUCCCUAGCUGGUCUGAGAGGAUGACCAGCCACAAUGGAAAUGGGAAACGGCCCAGGCUCCUACGGGAGGCAGCAGGGGGGAAUAUUGCACAAUGGGCGCAAGCCUGAUGCAGCAAUGCCGCGUGUAUGAAGAAGGCCGUCGGGUUGUAAAGUACUUUCAGCGGGGAGGCGUUACCCGCAGAAGAAGCACCGGCUAACUCCGUGCCAGCAGCCGCGGUAAUUC